UACGAAGGGGGCUAGCGUUGCUCGGAAUUACUGGGCGUAAAGAGCUCGUAGGCGGUGUGUCGCGUCGGCCGUGAAAACCUGCAGCUUAACUGUGGGCUUGCGGUCGAUACGGGCAUCACUGGAGUUCGGCAGGGGAGACUGGAAUUCCUGGUGUAGCGGUGAAAUGCGCAGAUAUCAGGAGGAACACCGGUGGCGAAGGCGGGUCUCUGGGCCGAUACUGACGCUGAGGAGCGAAAGCGUGGGGAGCGAACAGG
rnacentral:rRNA from 1 species